GUAGGUGAACCUGCGGAAGGAUCAUUAUCGAGCGAAUCCAAAACGAACGAAAAAGUCUCCCAACGUGCAUACCUUCCAUUUGAAUGUUGUUGUGAGCCACAUGGAAACUCGUACACACGUGGUGGCAGCCGUCUGCUGUGCUUUUUUUAGGCAGACAAUGGCUUACGAGUGGCCGUGUGCUUGUUGAACAACGGUGACCAAUUUGGCGUCUACGCCGUAUCUAGCUUCUGCCUGGACCGUCAGUUGCGAUGAAAGAUGCGGAGAAAGUUCCUUUGUUUUGGCUGCUAAUCAUCAUUGAUGAGCAGCAGCUUAAGGCAGAGUCGAGCAGACUUAAUGAGCCACGCUAGGUGGCCGCCAAAACCCAAAACACAACCGGUCUAUUUGACAUUGUUAUUUCAUUGUAUGUGUUGAAAAUGUACAAAUCUUGGCGGUGGAUCACUCGGUUCGUGGAUCGAUGAAGAACGCAGCCAGCUGCGAUAAAUAGUGCGAAUUGCAGACACAUUGAGCACUAAGAAUUCGAACGCACAUUGCGCUAUCGGGUUCAUUCCCGAUGGCACGUCUGGCUGAGGGUCGAAUUACGGUAAACUGUCUUCACGGUUUUUCUGGACUGUGAAGCAUUCGGCAAGCAAUUGCUGUUGUGUUGUUGGUGAUUCUAUCAUGGACAAUAUGACGAGCGGUUCCUUGCUUAGUGAUGACAAAAGAAGACGUCAACACCGAAUCUACUAUACUACUAAUACUAGUAUAUAGGUGAGGUGCUUUUGGUGGUCACAAAAGUGACAAGUAUGCCAUUUCAUAGGGGCAACAACCAGCAUACGUGAUAAGUUGGCUGGUUGAUGAAACGGCAACGGAAUGACGGACGUCUAUGUGAUCAAAAAUGAUACUAUUUGACCUCAGCUCAGUCGUGAUUACCCGCUGAAUUUAAGCAUAUAAUUAAGCGGAGGAAAAGAAACUAAC
rnacentral:rRNA from 1 species